AUUGAACGCUGGCGGCAGGCCUAACACAUGCAAGUCGAGCGGAGCGGCGGACGGGGGAGUAAUGCCUAGGAAUCUGCCUGGUAGUGGGGGAUAACGUCCGGAAAUGGGCGCUAAUACCGCUUACUAUCAGAUGAGCCUAGGUCGGAUUAGCUAGUUGGUGGGGUAAAGGCCUACCAAGGCGACGAUCCGUAACUGGUCUGAGUGGAAGAUCAGUCACACUGGAACUGAGACACGGUCCAGACUCCUACGGGAGGCAGCAGUGGGGAAUAUUGGACAAUGGGCGAAAGCCUGAUCCAGCCAUGCCGCGUGUGUGAAGAAGGUCGUCGGAUUGUAAAGCACUUUCAGUUGGGAGGCGUUACCAACAGAAGAAGCACCGGCUAACUUCGUGCCAGCAGCCGCGGUAAUAC
rnacentral:rRNA from 1 species